UACGUAGGGCGCAAGCGUUGUCCGGAAUUAUUGGGCGUAAAGAGCUCGUAGGCGGUUUGUCGCGUCUGCUGUGAAAGCCCGGGGCUCAACCCCGGGUCUGCAGUGGGUACGGGCAGACUAGAGUGCAGUAGGGGAGACUGGAAUUCCUGGUGUAGCGGUGAAAUGCGCAGAUAUCAGGAGGAACACCGAUGGCGAAGGCAGGUCUCUGGGCACUUACUGACGCUGAGGAGCGAAAGCGUGGGGAGCGAACAGG
rnacentral:rRNA from 1 species